GAUGAACGCUAGCUACAGGCUUAACACAUGCAAGUCGAGGGGCAGCAUGGUCUUAGCUUGCUAAGGCCGAUGGCGACCGGCGCACGGGUGAGUAACACGUAUCCAACCUGCCGUCUACUCUUGGACAGCCUUCUGAAAGGAAGAUUAAUACAAGAUGGCAUCAUGAGUCCACAUGUUCACAUGAUUAAAGGUAUUCCGGUAGACGAUGGGGAUGCGUUCCAUUAGAUAGUAGGCGGGGUAACGGCCCACCUAGUCUUCGAUGGAUAGGGGUUCUGAGAGGAAGGUCCCCCACAUUGGAACUGAGACACGGUCCAAACUCCUACGGGAGGCAGCAGUGAGGAAUAUUGGUCAAUGGGCGAGAGCCUGAACCAGCCAAGUAGCGUGAAGGAUGACUGCCCUAUGGGUUGUAAACUUCUUUUAUAAAGGAAUAAAGUCGGGUAUGCAUACCCGUUUGCAUGUACUUUAUGAAUAAGGAUCGGCUAACUCCGUGCCAGCAGCCGCGGUAAUACGGAGGAUCCGAGCGUUAUCCGGAUUUAUUGGGUUUAAAGGGAGCGUAGAUGGAUGUUUAAGUCAGUUGUGAAAGUUUGCGGCUCAACCGUAAAAUUG
rnacentral:rRNA from 1 species